rnacentral:rRNA from 1 species
UACGUAGGGGGCAAGCGUUGUCCGGAUUUAUUGGGCGUAAAGAGCGUGUAGGCGGUUUGGUAGGUCCGCUGUGAAAACUCGAGGCUCAACCUCGAGACGCCGAUGGAAACCGUCUGGCUAGAGUCCGGAAGAGGAGAGUGGAAUUCCUGGUGUAGCGGUGAAAUGCGCAGAUAUCAGGAAGAACACCCGUGGCUAAGGCGGUUCUCUGGGCCUUACCUGACACUGGAGGAGCGAAAGCGUGGGAGCGAACAGG